GACGACGCUGGCGGCGUGGAUUAGGCAUGCAAGUCGGACGGUAGGGCUUUAUCGUAAGAUAGAGUUUGAGAGUGGCGAACGGGUGAGUAACACGUAGGAAUCUACCCUUAAGACGGGACAACCCAGGGAAACUUGGGCUAAUACCGGAUGAGGGUGCGAGAGAUUGCAUUUAAAAGGAUGGCGAAAGUUGUCGCUUAGGGAUGAGCCUGCGGUCUAUUAGUUAGUUGGUGAGGUAAGAGCUCACCAAGGCGAUGAUAGAUAGGCGGCCUUAACGGGUGGUCGCCCACACUGGGAUUGAGAUACGGCCCAGACUCCUACGGGAGGCAGCAGUCGAGAAUAGUCUACAAUGGCCGGAAGGCUGAUAGUGCGACGCCGCGUGAACGAGGGAGCCCUUCGGGGUGUAAAGUUCUUUUCUAUACGAGCAGUGCUAUAUAUAUGGAUAGUAUAUAUAGAGGGAUAGUAGUAUAGGAAUAAGCAACGGCUAACUCCGUG
rnacentral:rRNA from 1 species